rnacentral:lncRNA from 1 species
UGUUUAAUCAUUCGUUCACCCUCCUUACUAGUUUUAGAUCACUUGUAGCUAACAUCUGACUUGUUUACGAUUGUGUGCUACUUUCAGGUGUGCAGUGUGGAGUUUGUUGAAGUGGUGAGAGGUAAUUUUCACGGAGGACCAAGAUCAAAGUCAUACAUUACAUUUAUGGCGAGGGAGAAGCCUGAUGGACCUCUUGUGGAGUAUCAAGCCAAGUCUAUGCUUACUUUGGACGGCAAUGUACAUCCCAUCCUCUGUAGACCAUCUCCUAUGCCAAAGUUUCCAAAACCAAUAUUAUAACUGUACUUAGGGAAAUCACUAUAGUUGUGGGAAUUUGUCGGAUGUAACUCAUCCGGAAGUGCUGGUUCGAAUCCAGCUCGUGACCUUUUCCCAUGGAUACAAAAAAAAAACUUAAAUCAAUUAAAAAAAAACAAUACAUAAUACGAUUUCGUCAUGCCUUUUUUUUUUUGUGUGUGUGAUAGAAGACCUCAUGAUUUUACCUGAAUAAUAAAAUUAUACGUUUUAAUGAUAAUAAUUUUGUUCUGUUUACUUUUUUUUUUUUUAGCAAAGAUGAUAAAGUAUAAUCGAAGCAUACUAUACAUAUACAUGUUUCUAACUCACUAAUCAAAGAAAAUAAACUUGUUAUUAACAUAACGAGGUGUUGAAAAAAGAACCCAACCUCAAUAUAUAGAACGAGGUGUUAUGAAAAAAGAAUCAACGAAAAAAGGUUUUCCAAACCAUAUAUAUUUUUACACUGACUUAUAUAUUUUGAUGUUUUGAUGUAGGGCUAACCACAUGUUUAGACUACAUCAAAUUAUUUGAUGUAGACUACAUUAUUCACGGGAGAAAGACUACAUCAAAACAUCAAAAUAUAUAUGGUUUGGAAAACAUUUUUUCAUUUAUUCUGACAUUAUAACAACAACAAUAAUCAGAGGAGAAAACACAUAACAUAUAUGAAAAUAGUAGAGACAAGAUCUACAUGCAUGUACCAAAAGGUUUAUGAAAAAACAGAAUAGAUUAAAACAUGUAUGAAAAACAGAAUAGAUUAAGAGAAAGAUAAGGAACAUCACAGAACCAAAAUAUAAAAACAUCCAUGAACCUUUUCCCAACUGAUUUAGACGUGCCAAAAUCAAGAACAAAUGUUCUAAUGAAAGAACAAUGUACAUAUCAAAGAAAAUGUAACUAUGCUCUUACAAUUACUCAAAAGAAGAAAAAAAAAAAUACUUAACUGGUUGAAGCUAGCUUUUUUUGUUUCAACCUUAGCACACAGAGAGAUGAAAGGAACCUUAGCACAAGCUUUUAAAGCUUUGAGCAGAAGCUGUGAAAUCAGCCUGAAAAAAUAAUAUGUAUAUAUACUAUAAAGCUCUUGCCGAAGACAGGCCCGUCUGCAUUUUUAGGAAAUCUUUGAAAAUCAAUAAGCAGUGUUUCUAGUUUAAGUAAGUAUUUGACUGUUGAAUACUUUUUCUUCAAGUAACGAUUUGACCAUUUUGAAUACUUGUAAUAUAUCAAACCAGUUUACCUAGAAAUCGUAGUGGUGUGGUAUUCAUUUCGGUAAAAAAUAUAUUUAUUUAUUGAGAGUAAAGAGACUAUUUUAGUGACAAUCAAUUCACCACUACGAUUUCUAUUGUUCCUUUAUGAGAAAAUGGACAAAAAGAAGAAGAUAUAAAAGUUUGUACAAACUCUUUAUAAUAAAGGUUAUUUUAUUUAAACAAACAAGAAACCUAAAUCUCAUAAGACUUGAAUAAUUUAUCACUAGGUUUUAGUUAUGACUUAUGAUGCGUAGUAGGAGUACCAUUAUUAUUAGUAUUUUUUUUAAUAGCAUGCAUGAUUUAAAUAUAUUUGUUUUGCUAAAACCUAAAAUAUUUGUGAUUAUGUUUAUGCAAUAGUUAUGAUUAUGUUUUGCUAAAAUAUUUUUUUUAAAGCAUGCAUGAUCAACAAAUAUUUGUGUAGUCCACUCACCAUUAUUGUUUCGUAUCGGCUAAAGUAAUGAGAAAAUGUCCAAAGAAGACAUUCUUAUCAAAAUACCCACAAACUCACACUAGCUAUAUACUUUGCAUCAUGGAAGUUGGAACAUGUGUUUAAUAUCAGUUAAUUAAGGCUUACUUAGAGAAUAUAUAUAUACCUGCAUUUUAUCUUAAAACGUGUUCUCUAUUAAGAGAACUUGAAACCGAGAAAGAACCGUGAUACUAGAUUACUUGCUAGUGUUAUGAAAGGAAAGAAAGAUAGUCUUUGAAUUAUAAUUUUAAUUUUUGUAUAUGUAUUCUCUUAUGAUUUACAGUAUAGAGAAUAUCAUACAAUUUCUUUAUUGUCCCUCUUUUGGGAAACAACUGAUUUCUCUAACACUAUUGUAUAACUUAAGUUAUAACUACACACACUAACGCUAAAUUUUGAACUUACUCUAUGAACACUAUGAAAAUAUGGUCGAAAUCCACAAAUUUACAUGUAAGAGUUUGACCAUUAAAAUAGUUGACUAGGAAAGACACGUGGAUAACCAAAACCAGUGUGUGUUUUAUGAACACGAACAAGAUUCAAAACAAAUUUACAACCCAAAACGACAUUACUCCGUUAGCAGGCCCAAGAACGUCAAAACCCAAUCCAAGCCCAAUACCAGAAGCAACAAUUGAACACGCGCCAAAGUCUGUUGUUCAACGUCGUCACUGCAAAUAAAACUAAUAGCAGAGAUGUUGCAGGUCGUACAGAAGUAAAGACAAAGAACAAAUUUGAAUUGCUAAAUUCAAGUAAUGGAGAUGCUGACACGUAAGAGACAAAGAGAACAAUAUAGAGACUAGGUUAAACAUCUUUGUAUCUCUAUAUAAGACCAAUGUUCUCUGUAAUAUGGUUUCAAGGAUUGAGAAAUAAAAAAAACAAUCUUUCUAUUUCUAGUUUACUCUUUCAUGUUUAUAAAACAAAUAUGAACAAGAUUAAAACGACGUCGAUUCAGUUUAGAAAGAUCAGUAAAUGACCCAUCUAAAAUAAAAUGUAUCGGCUGACCAAUUCACAUGUAGGUUAUAUAUAUUUGAAUUUGUAAAUCUCGCAGUGAUACCAAAGUAACGUAGUAGUUUUAGUACCCACAGCAGUUUGAUUUGCGUAUUGCAUGCUUACGCACUAAUUAUACAACAAUUCUAUGGAUAUAUAUAUAUAUAUAUAUAUAUAUAUAUAUAUGAACGCGCGAUAAAAAAAAAAACUAUAAGAAUUAGUAUUGCAAUUAUAUAAGUAAGUUUUGAUUUUAUAAAUUUAAAAUUAUUUAGCAGACAUAAAAUCGAAUAUAAUAAUACAAAAUUCGUUGACACAAGAUUAGAGUGGCCGUUUCGCAAAUAUCACAAUUUAUGGGGGCAGAAGGUAACUGCAUAAUUUAAAAUCUAAAUUAUAAAUACAAUUUCGUAGAAAAUAAUUUGGGAACAGAAUCACGAUUAAUUCAAAGCAGAGAGGGAUUUAGGGUUUACUCGAGAGUCCCGACCAUCAUGUUUCUCAAUCAUUGCGAAGCCAAGACGAUGAUAGACGCAUCAUCUGCUUCAAUGGUUGUCACUUCUUUACCGACAAAGCGUAAGGCCGAGUUCGACCCGGAGGAGGAGAGCGAUGGUGAGAAUGAAGAAGAAGAAAAGGAAACCAAAAUUGAAGAGCGUAAGGGUGGAAUAGAUUACUUGAAGGUGCCAGAAUGGGAUGUGGACAGCUUCGAUGGUUUAGAGUAUUACUCGUCUCCGGAGGUGUUGUUUUCCUCCGAUGAGGAACCUUUCUCCGAAGAAUCUAUACAACACUAUCGCAUCUUUAAACACCAGAUGAUCGACAGCAAGGUACUUCUACCCCUGAUGCUUUUUAAUCCUUUUGAAACUUUGUUGAUUAAUAGUACUAGAUGAUGUUAUUAGGGUUUUUACGGGGAUCCAGAGCUUAGUCCCUAUGAUCAUUACAGAGGAAUCAAACCAAUGAGCUUGGAGUGGGAAGCGCUUACGGAUAAAGACUUUCGCGCCUACUGGGAAGAGAUGGUGUUUGUUUGUCUCCAUAAACUCAACCAAAUCAAGGUUACUCCUCUCUCUCUGUUUUGGUGGCCUUUUGUUUAAUCUGUAAUCUGUUACUAGUUUAGAUUGGGUAUUUUCCUUAGUCUGAACCAAGAAGUCCAAAAUCUAAUUCCUAAUACUAUUCUCUUAGACGAACUAAAGGUCUCAGAUUGGUAUGUUAUUUUUAGCUUUAGGAUUCAGUCAUGUUAACAGUGGCAAUGGUUAGGACAAGGUUUUUAAGUGGUGGUAUGGGAAGUUUUCAACCCUGAUAUGUGUACUGCCCAAGCUUGGCAUUAAUAUGUUUUUAUUUGUGGUUCUAUAGGACUCGAAUGUGGAGUUUGUUGAAGUUGUGAGAGGUUAUUAUCGCGCAGGACCAAGAUCAAAGUCAUACAUUACAUUUAUGGCGAGGGAGAAGCCUGAUGGACCUAUUGUGGAGUAUCAAGCCAAGUGUAUGGUUACUUUAGACAGAAAGAGGCAUCCCAUCCUCUGUAGACCUGUUCCAACGCCAAAGCCUUGAUACCAAACUUGUUCAAAGUAGGGAUGUCUCUUAGCCAAGUUCUCAUGCAUGUACUCUGUCUAUAGGCUCAAACAUGUAUAGAGAAACAAGAUUCUUUUUGCCUUCCAAGAUAUUAUAUGGGGCUUUUCAUGUAUAUGUAGAUGUAAUUACGAUAUGAGAAAAGCAAAAAAGAAUGACCCGGCCAUCUCAACAAAAUGUCUUGGCGAAGCAUUCAGAAUAACGAAUUGGUAAAUAUCGG